rnacentral:tRNA from 1 species
GCAGCAGUGUUGCGUGGUGGUAAGGAGCAGGGCUCGUAACCGAAAGGUUUCUGGUUCGAUUCCCUGCUGCAGCA